CAAGGGACAGGACAAGGGGAAAAGGCCCCAAGUUGCACCAGGGGAGGCUCAGAUUGGAUAUCAGGAGGAAUUUCUUCAUGGAAAGGAUUUUUAAACAUUGGAAGGGGCUGCCCAGGGAGGUGGUGCAGUCCUCAUCCCUGGAGGUGUCCAAGGAAUGACUGGCCAUGGCACUCAGUGCUCUGGGCUGGGUGACAAGAUGGGGAUCAGUCACAAGUUGGACUUGAUGAUCUUGGAGGUCUCUUCCAACCUAAAUCAUUCUUGGAUUUACAUUGAUUCAGCUGAGCAGAUACAGCAAAGCCCUGGGUGCUCCAAGCACGUCCUUCCUGAGCUGAAAACACCCUUUUCUUCCACUCUCUGCACUCUCAGGGUCAUGGGGACAACAGAAUCUUUUCUUUUUCCCUCUGCAGCAUCCCAGACAACUCAGCCUGGAAAAUGGAUUGCUGAGGUGAUAUGAUGGAAGUUUGAGAUCUAUUAGCCUGGAAAAUCAUGGAAUGACACGAUAGCCUACUUGAAAUGAAUCCCCGUGUGGAAACCUGCUCUGUGAAGGCCAGUGAGGAAGGAAGGAAAAUGGAUGUUCUGUGCACUCCAGACAUGUUGGUGAAUCCAGUUCUGCAAAACCGGCUGGUGAGGGUUUAUAACCUUUCCCUUCUGCCUUUGUUUCUAGCUGUGGUUAUUCAUUUUUGUUACAAGGA
rnacentral:lncRNA from 1 species